UUGUAUGACUAGACAUGUAACCAGUGUCCUGGGAAGAUACUUUAUCCCAGCAUUAUGUGGAGAUUCGUUUCCUCCUACCAGUGAGACAGAAGGAGAAGACCCAACCAAAUGCUGUUACUAGUGGUCCUGUGGCACUUUUCAUAGUGUGUCUAAAUUCUGGUGGAGGUCAAUCCUGCACGAAUUUUGCUUUGGAUAAAUUGGAUAAAUCUCUUGGUGAGAGAAGCUGUUGCAAGCACAUGCUGCCCUGUCUCCACCUGUAGCCACAGUGGAACUCCAGUUCUGUUGUUCCUCCUCCUGAGCUUCACUCUGACAUGCCGAGUCUCAGAAAGACCUGUCCCGAUUCCAAGAGUCUCUCUUUCUGGGAGGGACACAGUUGUUAGCGCACAUUGCUAAGACGAUCCAUUGUGUAUUGUCCAACACACUUCCUCAUUUGUGUCCUUGUUGUCAGGUUAGUCUCUGAAGGAGCUGCUGCUGCUGCUGAAACCAACUUAUUUUGGGAAGCUACAUAAAAUUACUGUUUCCAUGCAAA